rnacentral:rRNA from 1 species
AACGACAUAGUGGCAGACGGGUGAGUAACGCGUGGGAACGUACCUUUCGCUACGGAAUAGCUCUUGGAAACGAGUGGUAAUACCGUAUACGCCCUCCGGGGGAAAGAUUUAUCGGCGAAAGAUCGGCCCGCGUUAGAUUAGGUAGUUGGUGGGGUAAUGGCCUACCAAGCCUACGAUCUAUAGCUGGUCUGAGAGGAUGAUCAGCCACACUGGGACUGAGACACGGCCCAGACUCCUACGGGAGGCAGCAGUGGGGAAUCUUGCACAAUGGGCGAAAGCCUGAUGCAGCCAUGCCGCGUGAAUGAUGAAGGCCUUAGGGUUGUAAAAUUCUUUCGCCAGGGAUGAUAAUGACAGUACCUGGUAAAGAAGCCCCGGCUAACUUCGUGCCAGCAGCCGCGGUAAUACGAAGGGGGCUAGCGUUGUUCGGAAUUACUGGGCGUAAAGCGCACGUAGGCGGACUUUUAAGUCAGAUGUGAAAUCCCGGGGCUCAACCUCGGAACUGCAUUUGAAACUGGAAGUCUGGAGUUCAGGAGAGGUUAGCGGAAUACCGAGUGUAGAGGUGAAAUUCGUAGAUAUUCGGUGGAACACCAGUGGCGAAGGCGGCUAACUGGACUGAUACUGACGCUGAGGUGCGAAAGUGUGGGGAGCAAACAGGAUUAGAUACCCUGGUAGUCCACACCGUAAACGAUGACAGCUAGUUGUUGGCAGGCAUGCCUGUCGGUGACGCAGCUAACGCAUUAAGCUGUCCGCCUGGGGAGUACGGCCGCAAGGUUAAAACUCAAAGAAAUUGACGGGGGCCC